UUGUCUCAAAGAUUAAGCCAUGCAUGUCUCAGUACAAGCCGAAUUAAGGUGAAACCGCGAAAGGCUCAUUAAAUCAGUUAUGGUUCCUUAGAUCGUACCCACAUUUACUUGGAUAACUGUGGUAAUUCUAGAGCUAAUACAUGCAAACAGAGCUCCAACCGGAAACGGAAGGAGCGCUUUUAUUAGAUCAAAACCAAUCGGUGGCGAAUACCGUCAUCGUACAACUUGGUGACUCUGAAUAACUUUACGCUGAUCGCACGGUCUCGCACCGGCGACGCAUCUUUCAAAUGUCUGCCUUAUCAACUGUCGAUGGUAGGUUCUGCGCCUACCAUGGUUGUAACGGGUAACGGGGAAUCAGGGUUCGAUUCCGGAGAGGGAGCCUGAGAAACGGCUACCACAUCCAAGGAAGGCAGCAGGCGCGCAAAUUACCCACUCCCGGCACGGGGAGGUAGUGACGAAAAAUAACGAUACGGGACUCAUCCGAGGCCCCGUAAUCGGAAUGAGUACACUCUAAACCCUUUAACGAGGAUCAAUUGGAGGGCAAGUCUGGUGCCAGCAGCCGCGGUAAUUCCAGCUCCAAUAGCGUAUAUUAAAGUUGUUGCGGUUAAAAAGCUCGUAGUCGAAUCUGUGUCCCGCGCCGCCGGUUCAUCGUUCGCGGUGUUAACUGGCGUGCCGCGGGACGUCCUGCCGGUGGGCUUAGCUCGAGAGGGCGGCCCAACUCAAUCCCGCCGCGGUGCUCUUCAUUGAGUGUCGAGGUGGGCCGGCACGUUUACUUUGAACAAAUUAGAGUGCUUAAAGCAGGCUAAAACUUCGCCUGAAUACUGUGUGCAUGGAAUAAUGGAAUAGGACCUCGGUUCUAUUUUGUUGGUUUUCGGAACCCCGAGGUAAUGAUUAAUAGGAACGGAUGGGGGCAUUCGUAUUGCGACGUUAGAGGUGAAAUUCUUGGAUCGUCGCAAGACGGACAGAAGCGAAAGCAUUUGCCAAAAACGCUUUCAUUGAUCAAGAACGAAAGUUAGAGGUUCGAAGGCGAUCAGAUACCGCCCUAGUUCUAACCAUAAACGAUGCCAGCUAGCGAUCCGCCGACGUUCCUCCGAUGACUCGGCGGGCAGCUUCCGGGAAACCAAAGCUUUUGGGUUCCGGGGGAAGUAUGGUUGCAAAGCUGAAACUUAAAGGAAUUGACGGAAGGGCACCACCAGGAGUGGAGCCUGCGGCUUAAUU
rnacentral:rRNA from 1 species